CAUAGUUUAUUAAAAUAAGUAUUUUAAGUUUCCUAUGUUUUAGUAGCAUAACCUGAAGAUGAUGCAUGUAUAUAUUGGUCAUAGUACAGUAAUUUAAACAACAAAACCAGUUUUCCAUAUCUGUAAACGAUGUACAUGAAGUCAUCAUUUGUUUUAAAUGUUAAAUUUAUAUUCAAAGUUCUUUAAUAGAACUUCACCAAUAAUGUGCGCCUUUAUCAAUUUCUCAGAUGACAAAUCUUGAGUACUUGUAAGCAAAAAAUUAACUAAUUUGGCAUAACAUUUGAUAUAAGCAGUUUGUGUAUUAUUUCUCGAGGAUUUUGUAUAAUGGGAGCAGUAAUCUUGGUAAUAAUCAGUUAAGUGGACAAUUGAGCGGUCAUUUCAACAGCUGCCUAUAUUGAUAGAGCUGUAUGUACCAUUUAGAAUCACUUUGUUUCCAGUUACUUAGAUAUGUUCUCUGAUUUUACUCAAUAGCAGACAAUUUGCCUAAGAGUUUCUGAAAGGUCUCAAGCCUCACUGCAUUGAAUUUGCAAAAGAUUAAAUUCAAUGAUAAAAUCGAUGCCUUCCGUUGGAUGAUUUGUCUGUCAAUCUUCUGUACCAAAAUUUAUCUAGUGUCUAUAUUUUCAAGUAUUAUAUUAAGUUCCAUUAACAAUUAAUUACUAGUGAAGUGCAAUUUACUGAUCCAUUUAUAAUUUUAUGACUAAAUCUGUUAUGUAUAGUGUGGUCACUAUUUUUUACAUGUUGUAGUCAUAUCAUGCUGUACGCCAUGGCAUGUUCUCGUGUCCCAUCUUUUCAAGAGAAUGUUUGGUAUAUCUGGUAAAUCUCAAUAUAUUUAGUGUGCAGUGUGUUCUGCCGACUCUUAUUUUGUUUCACUC